AUAGCGGUACCUAAAUGUGUUGGUGGAAUGGGUUUUAGGGACCUCCAGUUAUUUAAUAAAGCCAUGUUAGCUAAACAAGGAUGGAGGCUAUUGACUAAUCCCGAAUCGCUAUGUGCAAGACUUCUGAAAGGGAAGUAUUAUAACGGCAAAGACUUCAUGACCGCUACAAGAAGAAGGGGAUCCUCACACACAUGGCGCGCCAUAUUGUUUGGUAGAGAAGCUCUUGAGCUGGGCCUAAUCAAGAGGGUCGGUGAUGGCGAAUCAAUUAAAAUAUGGGAUGAUCCGUGGAUCCCAGCCAACUAUAAUUACAAGACCUUAGUAAAGCUUCGUCUUGCUGCAGUUAAUAGAGUUAAUGAGCUACUGGAUGUAGAUAGCAGAACAUGGGACGAGGAAUGUGUGAGAACUAAUUUUACUGUGAUUGAUGCUGAAGCUAUCCUGCGAAUUCCAGUCAAUGCGGGAGAGGAUUUCUGGGCAUGGCAACCUGAUAAGAUGGGCAUUUUCUCUGUGAGGUCGGCUUAUAAGUUGUUGACUGAGGAACAGGGUAGGAUGACCCAGGCGUCAGGCUCGGACAAUGGGUACUAUAAGGCGUUUAAAAUACUUUGGCGAAUGGAGGUUCCUCCCAAAGUAAGAUGUUUCUGGUGGAGAGUUAUUCACAACUUUAUUCCGUGUCGGGUUGUGCUGCAACAUCGUCAUAUCGAGAAAAUACCUUACUGUGAGGACUGUGGUGUUGAAGAAACUACAUACCAUGCUCUAUUCACUUGCAAUUGGGCUCGCAGGUUCUGA
rnacentral:rRNA from 1 species